CCAUCUGGUAAUGCAGGGGACUCUAGAGAUACUGCCCGGUUAACGGGAGGAAGGUGGGGGAUGACGUCAAGUCCUCAUGGCCCUUAUGCCCAGGGCUACACACGUGCUACAAUGGGCGGUACAAAGGGUAGCGAUGCCGCGAGGUGAAGCCAAUCCCAAAAAGACCGUCCACAGUUCGGAUUGGAGUCUGCAACUCGACUCCAUGAAGCCGGAAUCGCUAGUAAUCGUGGAUCAGCAUGCCACGGUGAAUACGUUCCCGGGCCUU
rnacentral:rRNA from 1 species